rnacentral:rRNA from 1 species
CGGAGGUACUCGAGUGGCGAACGGGUGAGUAACACGUGGGUGAUCUGCCCUGCACUCUGGAUAAGCCUGGGAAACUGGGUCUAAUACCGGAUAGGACCGCACUUUAGUGUGUGUGGUGGAAAGUUUUUUCGGUGUAGGAUGAGCCCGCGGCCUAUCAGCUUGUUGGUGGGGUAAUGGCCUACCAAGGCGGCGACGGGUAGCCGGACUGAGAGGUUGGUCGGCCACAUUGGGACUGAGAUACGGCCCAG